UACGUAGGAGGCAAGCGUUGUCCGGAUUUAUUGGGCGUAAAGAGCGUGUGGGCGGCCAGGUAGGUCCGUUGUGAAAACUCGAGGCUCAACCUCGAGACGUCGGCGGAAACCCUCUGGCUAGAGUCCGGAAGAGGAGAGUGGAAUUCCUGGUGUAGCGGUGAAAUGCGCAGAUAUCAGGAAGAACACCCGUGGCGAAGGCGGCUCUCUGGGACGGUGCUGACGCUGAGACGCGAAAGCGUGGGGAGCAAACAGG
rnacentral:rRNA from 1 species